rnacentral:lncRNA from 1 species
CUAGACCCUCGAUUCCAUCGCUCAAAACCUUCCCUCCUGCUCCGAUCGUUCAACUAGACCCUUGAUUCCUAAAUCAAAACCUUCCCUCCUGCUGCGAUUUUGAAAUCCAAAUCCCCCUUUAUGCGAUUUCGAGCUGCGAGCACCCUCGAUUCCUGCGACGAUUUCCUAAACCAAACCCUUCCUCCUGCGAUUUCAAAAACCAAACCCUCCCCUGCUGCGAUUUCGAGCUGCGAUUCUCUAAACUCGUUCAGCUACUCGUCUAGCUCUCCACUUCUGCAGGUUCUCUAAACUCGUUCGGCUAUGAUAAUCCUGACCCAUGAUGAUAAUCUGAUUGGGGCAAAAAAAAUUCCUGCAAUUUCAUUGUGAAAUCGAAUUGGGGUUAUUCGCAAUUGAAGCUGUGAAAUCAAAUUGGGGCAAAAAGUACUGGUAAUCUUGGUUUUUCUUGGUUUCAAUUCUUUUCAGGACUUGCUAUUUAUGACUAAGCUAUUCUGUUAAGCAGUACUGGUAAUCUUGGUUUUGUACCAAGCUUAAGAUUGUUUGAUUGCAGCUUUUAAUUUUAACAACAGUCUAAUGUGAACUUACCUACCAUCUGUCCAGAAAGAAACAUGCUAUAUUAGUACUUGAAUUAGUUCAUGUUAUUGGGCGCUUUUUUUCUGAUGUCUGCUACAAAUUAUAGGAAUGGAUCCCAACAUUCAGCUUGUGGUUAAAUAACACUGCUUUGCAUAUUGCUUUAUAUAUGUUCAUUAAGUUUUCCCCAGUUUAUAUUUGUCAUUUUGCUCGUAUCUAUUUUUGAUGGGGAUUUUUAUAGAUUAUUUAAUACUCGACAUUUUGAUGAAUGUGUAGGAAACAUAUGGAUAUUAAUCCCGGACCUGCUAAUCCUAUUGUGUUAUGGGACCAAGAAAAUCACGUAUCUUCAGACUUAUGGCAAAAUAUUGUAAGUUUAUUUAUGUAUAACAACUUUCAUUUUGUUAAACAUUUGUUAGAAACAUUCAUGUUGUGACGAUUUAUGUUUUUAUGUUGUUGGACGUGUAGGAUAGGGGUGUGUUAGAAAUUUGUCAAAUGUCUGCAAAAUUAACUGAAUGGAACUUGACUGAACAACAAGAAUAUUUGCUGGAACAAGUAGGUUUUGGUAUAUUUUGUCAUCAAGUUAUAGUGUCAAAGAUUGAUGCAUCUCUUGUAUCUGCUCUAGUUGAACAUUGGAGAAGUGAAACAAAUACGUUUCACUUAAAUUGUGGAGAGAUUACCAUUUCUUUAGAGGACGUGGGAUUUUUAUUUGGGUUGCCCGUAUUAGGAAAAGCUUUGACUUGCGAAGAAUUAGAAAAUCCCAAAAUCUAUUUUAUAAGGGUUUUUGGGCAACAAGUUGUAGUAGAUGAGUGGGAACAAUGCUAUAAAAGGGGGGGCAUAAGUUUGCCCUGGUUAAGACAGAGAUAUGGUUAAGUACCUGGUGAUGCUACUCCAGAUGAUGUCGUAAAACACACUAAGGAAUAUCUGUUGUACUUGUGUGGCGCUAUUUUGUUUCCAACCAAGUGUAAAAAUGUUGUGCAUCCUAGAUAUUUGUUGUUAUUAGAAAGAUUGGAAGACGUAGUUACAUAUGCUUGGGGGGCGGCAGUUUUAGGGCAUUUGUAUAGGGGUUUGCAUGAGGCUACUCGCAAAACAACGAAAAAAUUCGCAGGUUGUGCAACCCUUCUUAUGAUGUGGGCUCAUGAACGGUUCAACAUCGGUCGUCCUACCCAUAAGCCUAUGUCCCAGAAGUUGAUACCUAGGGCACUAUCCUGGGCAUACUCCUCUUUUGAUCCUAAUUCAAAACAAUAUCAGCUCCUUAAAAAUCCACAUCACCAUCUUUUGUUUUACCGAGGAGAGUUUGAUAAUAUGUUGGAAACAGAUGGGGUGUGGCGUCCAUAUCAGUUAUUUGAUAGACGUUUAUCUUGGGAUUUUUUUUGAGGCAAGGUUAGGUGGAGCUGCUCGUAUACCAUUGAUACAUUACGACAUUGUUGAGUUCCAAAUGCCUGACAGAUUUAUGAGGCAAUUUGGAUAUUUGCAGUCGUAUCCAUCUAAUGCUGAAAAUAUGAAAGAAUUGCGGAAGGAACAUAAAUUAUUUGAGAGAAUAAAUUUUGAAAAUCAUAAGGCCAACUAUAUUCGAUUGUGGGAUGCAUACAUGGAGAGUUUAGAAGAACAAGUGUUGGAGGCUUUGCAGCAUAUAUCUACCGAGGAUUAUAUGACGUGGUAUAGAGAAAUUACUCGACGACGGAUACACCAUACUCGACCCUUUAGGCGUCAAGGGGAAGAUUAUUAGCCACGGGUUUUCAUUGACCAAUAUUUGGCUGUAAACACUGUAAGUUAUUCAAUUUAUAAUAUUUAUUAAUGUUUUUGUUUUAAUAAAACUGAUUAUCUUGUUUUAUUAAUAUAAUUUUUUUAUUUAAUUGUAGAUUGAGAGUGCAAAAGUUAUAUUUGAAAAGAUGUUGUCAAUUGGACAUCCACAUGAGUUAAGAACCAUGUAUGACACAUAGUUCAAUACAUUAUACCAGCCGUUCAUGAAUGACUAUAGAGGGGUUCCAUUCAAUCCAAAUCCAACACAACCUCAAGUUGGACAGAUGGAGAUUGACAUGACAAGAUCCCAACCUACAGUUGGGCAGAUGGAGAUUGACAUGACAGGAUCCCAACCUACAGUUCUAGAGACUCAGCCUAGCAUUGGCCCUUCUACUCGACAUAGUAAGAAAGUGCCAGCUAGAAGGAUGGAGGGAACAAAGCACACUCACUUUUUUAAGUACUUAAAGAUGGAAAAAAUCAAUUAGCUAAAUCAUCAUUGGUUUAGUCCAACUCACGACCCAUCAGACUUUCCUCAUAGCCAUCCAGAAGGUCUAUACAAGUUUUAAUUUAAAGAUGUUAAUUGUUUGAGACCCAAUGGUUGGUUAUGGGAACAUGUAUUGGAUGCUUAUUUAUUGUUGUUGCGAGAUAGAGAAGCUAAAAUGUGUAAAGAAGGUAUCCAAAGAUGGGCUCGAUUUUAUUUCAUGCCAACGUACUUUGCGUUGUUAGGUACCCAAAACUUACCAAGUGCCGGAGUAGACAUGCCAACCAUAUGAAAAUUUCUAAGAAGUUACAUCACUCCUACAGUUGGUGCCCCAGUACAUGAGUGUGACUACAUAUUCGUUCCAGUCUUCAACGAAACCAACAGUCAUUUUUGCUUGUUUAUUUGGAGUGUCAACAAGUGGAAAGUAAUGCUACUUGACCCACUUUAUGAUGACAAACCAUUAAUGCCAUUGUCACAAUUAUACCAAAACUUCUUUGCGGUUGUGGUGAGUUUAUUAAUAUAUUUCUUGUUUUUCAUGUCAUUACACAGACUUGUAAUUCCUUCUACUUUAGACUUAUAAGUAAUGGGUUUCUGGUUUAUAGGUGGAGUUAAUUCCUUUGCUGCUUCGUCAGGCAAAUCCUAUAGCAAAGUGGCCAAAAGCGAAGCCGAAAGUUGAAGUCUGUGUGAAUAGACCAAGACAAUGGAACGCAUACGAUUGUAGCAUAUAUGUUGCAAAGUAUGUGGAUUUUUUUUUGCACCGUAUAAACAUCAUGGAGGAACCGAGGUGGACUCUUAACGAGGCUUAUAAUUUUAGAUUUAGAAUAGCACAUGAGCUUAGGAUGAGCAAAGCUAGGAACAUUCCUGCAAAAUAUAUUUGUAAUAAACAAACUUUAGAUUUGGAUUUAAAUGAAGACUAGUGAAUGUAUAUUUGACUAACUUUUGUAAUACGUUGAUUUAGUAACUCGGUUACUAGUUUCAAAAUGAUUCAAUCUUUUGUAUGUACGUUAAUAUGGAUGUCGUUCUAAGCAAUGUGUAUUUAAGUUUGUAUAUAUAAGUUUUAGAUUAGUUUCCUUGAUAAUUAUAUGCUGUUGGUUUCUUAGAAUAUGGAUAAACUAUUUUUUGAGAUAGGUGUUGGUAUUUAGCUCACAUCUACAAGUAAGCUGAUUCUCCACUACUUUUAAAAGCAGGAGAUGGUGUUUGUCUUCAUCAUACUGAUAUGUCAUUUUCUUUAACAACAUUGGGAUUCUAGUGCAUUGCCGAUAAAACGUUCAUUCAAGAUCCAUCAGUAACCAUCUUCUGGGUACAAUUUUGAUUUCAAUUGUUUCAUUGUACUUUCAUUUUUCAGCCUAUUGGUAUUUUGAAGGUAGUGCUAAAUUAUAUUUGUGGUGUCUCUUCUUUUGGCCACAGGGCUGAAGUCUGCAAGUACAUGAAUAAAAUCUGCAAACUUGGUUAAAUAUUAAAAGGACCUGUUGCACUGAGUCUGUUUUGAAACUUAUCUUUUCUCCUCAUGUUCCCUGUUACUGCAUUAUCACUCCCUUUCUGGAAGAAACUGUGUACAGAGGAUUUCUGCUGACAUAUCUUGCUUCCACAUUGGAAUGGCAGCAAGCAGUCAUCAUAAGUUCUGCCAUUUUUAGUGCAGAUCACCAUCAGUUACUGGAGGAAAUCCCGCUGCCAAUAAAGUGAUUUCAUUUUUCUUUAUUUCUUUAUUACUAAGCAACAGUUUGAGGGUUGCACUGAUUUUUGUGACAUAACAUCAUGGAUAUAAGGUUAUCCCACCCUACUGAUGCUGCUGCUGAGCUGCGCCAUGUCAUGACCAACAAUUAUUUUGUUUCAUAUUGGUACAAUCAUAUAAUGGUUUGUUUCAUUUUGGUACAAUCAUAUAAUGGUUUGAUUCCCUUACCAUGCUUUUGUCCACACUUGACCAUGCUUUGUGACCUUGAAACUGUUUUGUGUAUAAACAUAAAGUAGUGCACUCUAGUGUGCUUGAGACAUACAUAACAUCAUGGAUAUAAGGUUAUCCCACCCUACUGAUGCUGUUGCUGAGCUGCGCCAUGUCAUGACCAACUGUUAUUUUGUUUCAUAUUGGUACAAUCAUAUAAUGGUUUGAUUCUAUUGUCAAGUCAGGUUUGAGUCUAGAUUUCUUUGACAGUUUUGGUCAUUCUCUUGACAGUUGUCUUUUUAUUGGCUGUUUAUUAAUUUCUUCAGGUAUAAUGACCAGUUUUUAUUUUUAUUUUGCAUAGUAAGUUACUACCACCCAGUGUUGUCUGAUAUUGUUCUUGAUCUGCAUCAGCAACUUAAACUUGUUAUGGAUUCCAUAAUAUGGGCUUUCCGUCACACUGAAAGGAACAUUGGUGAAACGGGGCUGAACCUUUUGUUGGAGAUGCUGAAGAACUUUCAAGUGUGAUUAUCAUCCACCAUCGCUAGUGAUUUCUGCUGACAGUCCUUGAAUUGGAUACAAGUGGAGGGGCUACUGUUGUUUAAACAUAGCAGGCAUGAGUUGUGUAUGCAAUAGUGAAUCCAACCUAGCAAAUUAACUUUCCUUUUCUUUCUCUUUUCUCCACCCUAGCAUAAUUUAGCUUCUGUUUUUCAUUUUAUAUCUGAAGCGACUUUUAUUACAUGGCUCUUAACACAUCAUAGAUGAAAGUUUCAUUUCUGAUUAGUGAUGUCUUAUGAAUCUUUUUACAGGGGAAGUACACUCAUUGAAAGUUGACUGAAUUUUACUCUAAUAUGGAAUUGCCUUUUCAUACUAAUGCUGUAGAAGCUGUACAUGUGUUAGAAUUUCUUUGAGACUUCAUGUUAUCUAUGAUUUGUCCAAACUCUCAUUUACUCAGUGAACCGCAUAUUCAACUUGCAGGUUUCUCUUGAUUGAACCGCAUAAUGAUAUUUGAUUUAUCUCUAUUACUUUACUGAUAUAUAGACUGUCUUAAAGAUUACUGAUAUUACUUUACUCUAAUUUGUCUGCAUUAAUACAGGUGAACAUAUAUGAUGAUAACUGGAAGAAGCUGUGGUUUGGGUCAUUAAUAUUUUAUGAAGUAAGUGAAGAAGUCGAGGUGGAUGUCUUCAACCUGACACAGUGGAAUUCAAAAUUAGAUUUGGCUUGUCGAAUUAUGCUUGUAAUGGGUCAUUGUAACAAUUUAGCAAAUUCUUUUUGUAAUAUAACAUAUUAAUAUAUUCGAAGUAAAUUUUUAUUUUUAUUUGUAAUAUUCUUUUCUCCGUACGACUAGUAUUUAGAAAUACAAGCUCUAACUCAUUCAGUA